ACCAGCCCUUUGGUAGGUGCGCUUUGCUUCCUAACCCGUUGCCGGGUUGGAGAUUCCACCUCCGAAGUUUUCUUUCUGACUUUUGAUUUUACAUUCCUAGUACAGUGGAGAAGCCCAGGCGGCCUAGAAUCCAGUGUCGUCCGUGAGUGCUUGGCUGGUGUUCAAGUGCAUCUUCCAGCCUGAGACCGCGUGGACUCGCUCAUCGUGAGGGCGAGAGGAGGAUAAGCCCAUUGGGCUGUCGGCUGAGAGUGAGGUGCGGGAUUGCUGAUGAAAUCCUUGGCAUCGUCGGAGAUCUCAUCGAAUGCCUCGUCGUCGAAGUCCCAGGUGGCUGAGGUAACGUUGGCCAAGGUUUCGUUAUCGUUGUCUCCCAUGAAGGGGGAAAGGCCACUGACUCUGGAGAGACAAGAGCAGGACAGCAGGUGUGGCUAGGAGAGGGCGCGACGACCAGAUGAGGGAAUUGAGGCACAGCCCAGGCUCAAGUCACCUGCCCAAAGAUUCACAGCCAGUGAGAUUGGAAGCCAGCUUGCCAACUCCCAAUUCCAAGCUAAGUAUGGUAUUCUGCCCACUGGUGCUGCUGCCUAGCCUUC
rnacentral:lncRNA from 10 species